rnacentral:rRNA from 1 species
UACGUAGGGGGCAAGCGUUGUCCGGAAUUAUUGGGCGUAAAGAGCGCGUAGGCGGUCCGGUAAGUCGGUUGUGAAAGUCGGGGGCUCAACCCUCGGAUGCCGAUCGAUACUGUCGGGCUAGAGUCCGGAAGAGGCGAGUGGAAUUCCUGGUGUAGCGGUGAAAUGCGUAGAUAUCUGGAGGAACACCGGUGGCGAAGGCGGCAUCCUGGACCAACACUGACGCUGAGGAACGAAAGCCAGGGGAGCGAACGGG